GUACGGCGUGCAUGAGGGCCUCCCCUGCAUGCAUGCAUGAUGGUAGAUGCAUGGAGGUGCAACACUAAAGCUGACGCGUUUGGUGCCCAUCGUCGGGUAUAAAUGAGACCUCCGCUCGCUCUCAGAACUCACACAGCUCUCCCACACCACCAUAAUCAAGCACUACAGCUACCUACGUGGUUCAGAUUCCAGACCAGAAAACCAGUGUGCACUGCACUCCUGUGCCGACUUCAGCCUUCGCUUCCACCAUCAUGGCCAACUUCGCCACCCAGCUCAAGGAUAGGUUUUUCGGCCUCGUCGACCGCGUCGCCGGCUGCGGCCGCACCGGGGUCAAGGAGGCCCCUAAGUCGGCGCCGGCGCCGGCAGUGCAUGAGCACGUCGAGAUUCGACCGAGAGGCCCCAAUGUGUCCGGAGGGUCGGAGGCAGGAGUCAAUUAGACACCGCAGGUGGUACUUGUUGUUUACUACCAGUACCAGCCCAUGUUUGGAGAGUUAUCGCUUCGCUUCAGAUUCAUGUGUUCUCCCUUGUUCUGAAAAUUGAAACAAAUGCUUUGCUUGUUGGUGAUUUUGAAUGUGUGAAGUGUGCUUGUGCGUGCGUGGUCCCGUGCUAUGUUUUCAAGUGUUCAAGAAGAUUCUUUGGUCAUGCCUUGUAACUGAAGAAUUGAGUUUCAUGAUGAUUACGUUGUAACAUUGUUAUU